GCAAGCGUUGUUCGGAAUUACUGGGCGUAAAGGGCUCGUAGGCGGCCAACUAAGUCAGACGUGAAAUCCCUCGGCUUAACCGGGGAACUGCGUCUGAUACUGGAUGGCUUGAGAUUGGGAGAGGGAUGCGGAAUUCCAGGUGUAGCGGUGAAAUGCGUAGAUAUCUGGAGGAACACCGGUGGCGAAGGCGGCAUCCUGGACCAACACUGACGCUGAGUGAGCGAAAGCCAGGGGAGCAAACGGG
rnacentral:rRNA from 1 species